GGUUAAGCGACUAAGCGUACACGGUGGAUGCCCUGGCAGUCAGAGGCGAUGAAGGACGUGCUAAUCUGCGAAAAGCGUCGGUAAGGUGAUAUGAACCGUUACAGCCGGCGAUGUCCGAAUGGGGAAACCCAGUGCAAUUCGUUGCACUAUCGUUAACUGAAUACAUAGGUUAACGAGGCGAACCGGGGGAACUGAAACAUCUAAGUACCCCGAGGAAAAGAAAUCAACCGAGAUUCCCCCAGUAGCGGCGAGCGAACGGGGAGCAGCCCAGAGUCUGAAUCAGCUUGUGUGUUAGUGGAACGGUCUGGAAAGUCCGACGGUACAGGGUGAUAGUCCCGUACACCAAAAUGCACAGGCUGUGAACUCGAAGAGUAGGGCGGGACACGUGGUAUCCUGUCUGAAUAUGGGGGGACCAUCCUCCAAGGCUAAAUACUCCUGACUGACCGAUAGUGAACCAGUACCGUGAGGGAAAGGCGAAAAGAACCCCGGCGAGGGGAGUGAAAAAGAACCUGAAACCGUGUACGUACAAGCAGUGGGAGCACCUUUAUGGUGUGACUGCGUACCUUUUGUAUAAUGGGUCAGCGACUUAUAUUCUGUAGCAAGGUUAACCGUAUAGGGGAGCCGCAGGGAAACCGAGUCUUAACUGGGCGUUAAGUUGCAGGGUAUAGACCCGAAACCCGGUGAUCUAGCCAUGGGCAGGUUGAAGGUUGGGUAACACUAACUGGAGGACCGAACCGACUAAUGUUGAAAAAUUAGCGGAUGACUUGUGGCUGGGGGUGAAAGGCCAAUCAAACCGGGAGAUAGCUGGUUCUCCCCGAAAGCUAUUUAGGUAGCGCCUCGUGAAUUCAUCUUCGGGGGUAGAGCACUGUUUCGGCUAGGGGGUCAUCCCGACUUACCAACCCGAUGCAAACUACGAAUACCGAAGAAUGUUAUCACGGGAGACACACGGCGGGUGCUAACGUCCGUCGUGAAGAGGGAAACAACCCAGACCGCCAGCUAAGGUCCCAAAGUCACAGUUAAGUGGGAAACGAUGUGGGAAGGCACAGACAGCCAGGAUGUUGGCUUAGAAGCAGCCAUCAUUUAAAGAAAGCGUAAUAGCUCACUGGUCGAGUCGGCCUGCGCGGAAGAUGUAACGGGGCUAAACUGUGCACCGAAGCUGCGGCAGCGACACUAUGUGUUGUUGGGUAGGGGAGCGUUCUGUAAGCCUGCGAAGGUGGCCUGUGAGGGUUGCUGGAGGUAUCAGAAGUGCGAAUGCUGACAUAAGUAACGAUAAUGCGGGUGAAAAGCCCGCACGCCGGAAGACCAAGGGUUCCUGUCCAACGUUAAUCGGGGCAGGGUGAGUCGACCCCUAAGGCGAGGCCGAAAGGCGUAGUCGAUGGGAAACAGGUUAAUAUUCCUGUACUUGGUGUUACUGCGAAGGGGGGACGGAGAAGGCUAUGUUAGCCGGGCGACGGUUGUCCCGGUUUAAGCAUGUAGGCGGAGGUUCCAGGUAAAUCCGGUACCUUUUAACGCUGAGGUGUGAUGACGAGGCACUACGGUGCUGAAGUAACAAAUGCCCUGCUUCCAGGAAAAGCCUCUAAGCAUCAGGUAACAUUAAAUCGUACCCCAAACCGACACAGGUGGUCAGGUAGAGAAUACCAAGGCGCUUGAGAGAACUCGGGUGAAGGAACUAGGCAAAAUGGUGCCGUAACUUCGGGAGAAGGCACGCUGAUAUGUAGGUGAAGCCCCUGCGGGUGGAGCUGAAAUCAGUCGAAGAUACCAGCUGGCUGCAACUGUUUAUUAAAAACACAGCACUGUGCAAACACGAAAGUGGACGUAUACGGUGUGACGCCUGCCCGGUGCCGGAAGGUUAAUUGAUGGGGUUAUCCGUAAGGAGAAGCUCUUGAUCGAAGCCCCGGUAAACGGCGGCCGUAACUAUAACGGUCCUAAGGUAGCGAAAUUCCUUGUCGGGUAAGUUCCGACCUGCACGAAUGGCGUAAUGAUGGCCAGGCUGUCUCCACCCGAGACUCAGUGAAAUUGAACUCGCUGUGAAGAUGCAGUGUACCCGCGGCAAGACGGAAAGACCCCGUGAACCUUUACUAUAGCUUGACACUGAACAUUGAGCCUUGAUGUGUAGGAUAGGUGGGAGGCUUUGAAGCGUGGACGCCAGUCUGCGUGGAGCCAACCUUGAAAUACCACCCUUUAAUGUUUGAUGUUCUAACGUUGGCCCCUAAUCGGGGUUGCGGACAGUGUCUGGUGGGUAGUUUGACUGGGGCGGUCUCCUCCCAAAGAGUAACGGAGGAGCACGAAGGUUAGCUAAUCCUGGUCGGACAUCAGGAGGUUAGUGCAAUGGCAUAAGCUAGCUUGACUGCGAGCGUGACGGCGCGAGCAGGUGCGAAAGCAGGUCAUAGUGAUCCGGUGGUUCUGAAUGGAAGGGCCAUCGCUCAACGGAUAAAAGGUACUCCGGGGAUAACAGGCUGAUACCGCCCAAGAGUUCAUAUCGACGGCGGUGUUUGGCACCUCGAUGUCGGCUCAUCACAUCCUGGGGCUGAAGUAGGUCCCAAGGGUAUGGCUGUUCGCCAUUUAAAGUGGUACGCGAGCUGGGUUUAGAACGUCGUGAGACAGUUCGGUCCCUAUCUGCCGUGGGCGCUGGAGAAUUGAGGGGGGCUGCUCCUAGUACGAGAGGACCGGAGUGGACGCAUCACUGGUGUUCGGGUUGUCAUGCCAAUGGCAUUGCCCGGUAGCUAAAUGCGGAAGAGAUAAGUGCUGAAAGCAUCUAAGCACGAAACUUGCCCCGAGAUGAGUUCUCCCUGAGACUUUAAGUCUCCUGAAGGAACGUUAAAGACGAUGACGUUGAUAGGUCGGGUGUGUAAGCGUAGCGAUACGUUGAGCUAACCGAUACUAAUGAACCGUGAGGCUUAACCUU
rnacentral:rRNA from 1 species